rnacentral:rRNA from 1 species
AUUGAACGCUGGCGGCAGGCCUAACACAUGCAAGUCGAACGAGUGGCGGACGGGUGAGUAAUGUCUGGGAAACUGCCCGAUGGAGGGGGAUAACUACUGGAAACGGUAGCUAAUACCGCAUACCAUCGGAUGUGCCCAGAUGGGAUUAGCUUGUAGGUGAGGUAACGGCUCACCUAGGCGACGAUCCCUAGCUGGGCUGAGAGGAUGACCAGGCACACUGGAAAUGAGCAACGGUCCGGAGGCCUACGGGGGGCAGCAGGGGGGAGGUUUGAACAAGGGGGGCAAUGCUGAUGCAGCCAUGCCGGGUGUAUGAAGAAGUCCUUCGGUUUGUAAGGGACUUUCAGAGGGGAGGCGUUCCCCGUAGAAGAUGCACCGGAUAACUCCGUGCCAGCAGCCGCGGGAAUUC